rnacentral:rRNA from 1 species
UUGGGUGGCGGUUCCUAAAGGGAGCACCCGCUAUGCCCCGGGAGUUUCGGGGCCUUCGGGUUGUAAAGCUCUUUUGCAGGGAAGAUAAUGACGGUGCUAAUACAAUAAGCCCCUGACAGUUCCUGGACAAUAACCACCGGCUUACUACGUGCCAUCACCUUCUUCAAUACUUAUGGUGCAAGCGUUAAUCUAAAUUACUGGGCAUAUAGCGUGUGCAAGCCCUCAUCUCAAACUGAUAUGUAAUCCCCAGACUCAACCUCUGAACUGCAUUUGAGACUGCUUGACUUCCGUGUGGAAAAGGGAAAUGGAUUUAUAUGUGGAGGAAUACCAUGGGUAAAUGCGGCUAAGAGCACCAUUAGUGAAGCUAAUCCCCUGAACCUGGACUGACACUCAUGAUCAAAUACCUGGGUAGCCCACACGAUUAAAUACCCUGGCAAUCCACGCCCUAAACUAUGUCUACUGGUUGUUGCUAAGGUUUCUUCUAUGUCGCCUGGGGAGUACGGCCGUUGACCUGAAACUCAAAGGAAUUGACGGAGUUGAAACUCAAAGGAAUUGACGGAG